UGCCAGCCGCCGCGGUAAUACGAAGGGUGCUAGCGUUGUUCGGAAUUAUUGGGCGUAAAGCGCGUGUAGGCGGUUCGUUAAGUCUGAUGUGAAAGCCCGGGGCUCAACCCCGGAAGUGCAUUGGAAACUGGCGAACUUGAGUACGGGAGAGGAAAGUGGAAUUCCGAGUGUAGGGGUGAAAUCCGUAGAUAUUCGGAGGAACACCAGUGGCGAAGGCGGCUUCCUGGCACAUUUCUGACGCUGAGGCGCGAAAGCGUGGGGAGCAAACAGGAUUAGAUA
rnacentral:rRNA from 1 species